UCCUACGGGAGGCAGCAGUGGGGAAUCUUAGACAAUGGGCGCAAGCCUGAUCUAGCCAUGCCGCGUGAGUGAUGAAGGCCUUAGGGUCGUAAAGCUCUUUCGCCAGGGAUGAUAAUGACWGUACCUGGUAAAGAARCCCCGGCUAACUCCGUGCCAGCAGCCGCGGUAAUACGGAGGGGGUUAGCGUUGUUCGGAAUUACUGGGCGUAAAGCGCRCGUAGGCGGAUUAGCAAGUYAGGGGUGAAAUCCCGGGGCUCAACCCCGGAACUGCCUUUAAAACUGUUGGUCUAGAGUUCGAGAGAGGUGAGUGGAAUUCCGAGUGUAGAGGUGAAAUUCGUAGAUAUUCGGAGGAACACCAGUGGCGAAGGCGGCUCACUGGCUCGAUACUGACGCUGAGGUGCGAAAGYGUGGGGAGCAAACAGGAUUAGAUACCCUGGUAGUCCACACCGUAAACGAUGAAUGCCAGUCGUCGGGCAGYAUACUGUUCGGUGACACACCUAACGSAUUAAGCAUUCCGCCUGGGGAGUACGGUCGCAAGAUUAAAACUCAAAGGAAUUGACGGA
rnacentral:rRNA from 1 species